AACGGCGCUGCGCAUGCGCCCCCGGGUUUGCGAAGAGAGGAGCUAGACGCGGGUGAGCGGGACGGGCGACCUUCAGACCGGCGGGAAUGGCGCUUUUUAGGCUGAAGCCCAGCAUGGUUGAGAGUCUGCGCAAACAGAAGUAUUUAUAUUCGCUCUGGAGCUCUACUCUUUUUGUAGGAGGUGUGUGGCUCACAGACUGGAGGCUGUUCCUUGAUUAUGUCCCAUGGAUUAACGGCAAGUUUAAGAAAGAUGAGUGAGCACAGUCUUGUACUAUGAGGCCACGCUGCCUUGACUGGAGGGAAACAGCUCCCUCUGAUGCUCCUGGUCCGAAUCUCUGAUGUCACCUUCCAUGAAAGUGCAUGAUAGUUCCAUUUUAUCCUCAGCGAGCAGUUGCUACACGAUGUCCUGUGAAACCAAUAAAUGUCUUAGCUCAUGGGAUCUAUGAGCAAUUGGACUUUGAA